UGGUGGAAGCAAGGGAGCCCAGCCGAAGCCAUGGCCAGUACAGUGGUAGCAGUUGGACUGACCAUUGCUGCUGCAGGAUUUGCAGGCCGUUAUGUUUUGCAAGCCAUGAAGCAUAUGGAGCCUCAAGUAAAACAAGUUUUUCAAAGCCUACCAAAAUCUGCCUUCAGUGGUGGCUAUUAUAGAGCCCUACUGCCAAUAAAGGGAAAAUAAGAGAUGCUCA
rnacentral:lncRNA from 1 species